AGAGUUUGAUCAUGGCUCAGGAUGAACGCUGGCGGCGUGCCUAAUACAUGCAAGUCGAACGAGGGUAGCAAUACCCUAGUGGCGAACGGGUGAGUAACACGUAGAUAACCUACCGUAAAGACGAGGAUAACACCGGGAAACUGGUGCUAAGACUGGAUAGGACAUUUGGGGGCAUCCCUAGAUGUUUAAAGGACCUGCAAAGGUACACUUUAUGAGGGGUCUGCGGCGCAUUAGCUAGAUGGCGGGGUAACGGCCCACCAUGGCAAUGAUGCGUAGCCGGACUGAGAGGUCAAACGGCCACAUUGGGACUGAGAACGGCCCAAACUCCUACGGGAGGCAGCAGUAGGGAAUUUUCGGCAAUGGGGGAAACCCUGACCGAGCAACGCCGCGUGAAUGACGAAGUUUUUCGGAAUGUAAAGUUCUUUUAUUAGGGAAGAAUAGCCUAUGGAAAAAUAGGAAUGACGGUACCUAAUGAAUAAGCCCCGGCUAACUAUGUGCCAGCAGCCGCGGUAAUACAUAGGGGGCGAGCGUUAUCCGGAUUUACUGGGCGUAAAGGGUGCGUAGGUUGUUAUUUAAGUUCUUGGUGUAAGUGCAGUGCUCAACGCUGUGAUGCUAAGGAAACUGAAUAGCUAGAGUUAGAUAGAGGCAAGUGGAAUUCCAUGUGUAGCGGUAAAAUGCGUAAAUAUAUGGAGGAACACCAGUGGCGAAGGCGGCUUGCUGGGUCUAAACUGACGCUGAUGCACGAAAGCGUGGGGAGCAAACAGGAUUAGAUACCCUGGUAGUCCACGCCGUAAACGAUGAGUACUAAGUGUUGGGGCCAAGCCUCA
rnacentral:rRNA from 1 species